CUAGAGCCCAACCUGUGUGUGGGGAGAGCGGCAGUGAUGAAGAGGCCAGUGGAGGCAGUCUGGCUUCAGAUCCAACCCCCCACUAUAAAUGCCUAGUGUUAGAGAGUUCAGUCUUUUAAACCAUUCCUGGGAAAAAGAUCUGGCAACUGGAGAUGGCUCCCAAGUGGAUGGCCGGGGAAGAGGAGGCUGCCUGCUGUCCUGGGGUGUGUGCUGAAGUGCUGAAGAGUGCAUUGUUCAUGGAACAAACAUGGGAAGUCCAUCGGGAGAGAAAGUGCAACCCACUCAGGAGAUGAUUCGAGGACUCUGGACUUUUUCACAUCCACAAGGCUGAUUACUUCAUUCCCUUCUCUGCUCAUUCUCCCAGUCUUCUGUCCAUGCAGUUUAACUCUGGUGGAGGAAAAGAAAAAGGAGAAACCAUCUACUCUUUAACUGGGCAGCUACUCUUUGGACACGCCACUCACAGCAAGUUACUCCUAUUAGAAAUGUCCCAAGGCCAGGCAUUAUUCUGAGGUGCUUUUCUAAUGUCUUUGUACUAGGAAAACCAUUUGCUCAAAGAACAAAUUCAUGAAGAAUGUAUUAGAAUUUAGAGUUGCAUGUGUGCUGGUGUCUUAGACUGACCACCUGGCCCUGUACACUUUCUCUCCCUCCAUUCCCUGGCCUGGCCACUGAGUGAGCAUUCACAGGAAGGCUGCUAACUGGGCCCAGAUGAGAUUCUUGCCAGAUGACAUAAGUUCUGUGCUGGAUUAGCAAGAAACCACGUGGAACAAUAACAUCAGUAAAAAGCACCACCAUUGAUUGAGUGCUACCAUGUACCAGAUGUGAUGCCGCAUACACCUGGGGCAUAAAAGCAGGUCACAUCACUUUGCUUUGCAUUUGAUUGCUUAAGGCCUACCUCUGCAUAAUACCUACUUUCCCUGACUUUUCCAAAAACAUUGUAUAUAGUUUGAAGAUUUUGGUAAUCUUCUCAAAUCUACCCAAUCUAUCAGUAGAAGCUUUAUCUUCAUGGUUAUCACAAGGGAGAGAUUGUAUUGGUCCUAUGCAAAUUUAGCACCUUCCUCUGAGUGGCCAAAUGUUGGGCCAAGUUUCAAAGGGCAUGAAGAAUCCUGUCAUUGAACAUCUGAGUGUACUCUGUGGCCUUUUGUUUGCAAUAACUACGAGAUACAACUAAAGUGUUCAAAGAAAAAUCAGACAUCAAUUUCAAGGUGAUAAAACUUAUAAUGGUUGCCAUAUAGAAGCAACUGGCAGAUUCUCUUGGAAAAAAAUAGGUCUCCCUUGGCAGUGUAUCAUACAUGUGUGCAUAAUUUAAUGCUCAUAACAAUCUUGCAAAGUAGAUGAGUUAAUCUCAUAGCUAGGAUUUCAUUAAUAACACAAUA
rnacentral:lncRNA from 1 species